rnacentral:rRNA from 1 species
UACGUAGGGGGCAAGCGUUGUCCGGAAUCAUUGGGCGUAAAGAGCGUGUAGGCGGCCAGAUAAGUCCGCUGUGAAAUCUCGAGGCUCAACUUCGAGCUGUCGGUGGAAACUGUCUGGCUAGAGUCCGGAAGAGGAGAAUGGAAUUCCUGGUGUAGCGGUGAAAUGCGCAGAUAUCAGGAAGAACACCCGUGGCGAAGGCGGUUCUCUGGGACGGUACUGACGCUGAGACGCGAAAAGCGUGGGGGAGCGAACAGG